UCGGAUUGCAGUCUGCAACUCGACUGCAUGAAGCUGGAAUCGCUAGUAAUCGCGAAUCAGAAUGUCGCGGUGAAUACGUUCCCGGGCCUUGUACACACCGCCCGUCACACCAUGGGAGUUGGAAGCACCCGAAGUCGGUGACCUGACCGAAAGGGAGGAGCCGCCGAAGGUGAAGCCAGCGACUGGGGUGAAGUCGUAACAAGGUACC
rnacentral:rRNA from 1 species